CCGGUCACAUUUUACGACGUACCAGUAACAGCAAUCUGUGUUUGGAUCCCAUGAAGCUAAAUGGUAAGGAUUGCCUAAGUCUUUCUUUAUUUGUAGAAGGACUUUUUUGUCUUUCGGAUUGCAUCUUACUGAUAGUGAAGGAGAAGCAAAGCAAAGAAAAAUAACUACAAGAAGAAGAGACAAGUUCAUAUUCUCUCUUCUUUUUU
rnacentral:misc_RNA from 1 species